rnacentral:misc_RNA from 1 species
CCCUUAUUUCUAUCUGAACCAUCGUCGUCUCUGUUUUCUACCCUUUUCCUUGUUCGAUUUCUCCUCUCUGGUCUGCUGCUCUGUCUCCACCAUCCCUGGCCAGCUCCUCCAUCUCAUCCUGAUUUGGUUUACCAUUCGAUCCUGCUCCUGUGCUCUCUGUAAGUUCUUGCUUUCUCUUCACUUCCAUAGCUUAUUUGUUACACGAUUUCUUCGUGCCCUCCGUAGACUUGGAGUUGCUUUUAAGAGGACAAAAGGAAGAUGCAGCAGAGAAAAUCAGGGAGGCCAUCUGGAACCGAUGGCUCUGAUUUCUCGUAUAGGAUGGUCGUUGAUUCCCGUUAUACAAAGGUAGCCAAAGGAAAGUCUCGUCUCUAUGCACUGAUCUUAACUCAGGCUGUCAUUCUAUUGAUAGGACUGCUAUAUAUUGUUUUAUCAACAUCAAAGGAGAAUGGUCCAAACAAACUCACUAUUUCAUCUUCCGUCAUUGGGUUGAUUUCUCUUCUCAUCGGGGAAUUAGGUCGAAGACGGAG